rnacentral:rRNA from 1 species
UACGGGGGGGGCAAGCGUUGUUCGGAAUUACUGGGCGUAAAGGGCUCGUAGGCGGCCAACUAAGUCGGACGUGAAAUCCCUCGGCUUAACCGGGGAACUGCGUCUGAUACUGGAUGGCUUGAAUCCGGGAGAGGGAUGCGGAAUUCCAGGUGUAGCGGUGAAAUGCGUAGAUAUCUGGAGGAACACCGGUGGCGAAGGCGGCAUCCUGGACCGGCAUUGACGCUGAGGAGCGAAAGCGUGGGGAGCGAACAGG